UGGUUGAUGGAUUGAGAGUAAGUGAGAGAUUGACCUGUGGAGGGCAUGAUAAGGUAGUUUUUUUGGGUGGUUGGGAUGGCAGAGGAGUGGAGGAGAGAAAGGAUGAAUUGGGUUAUGGAGAGAGGUUGAUGCGGUGGUGGUGGAGUAGCAGGUGGUAUCAGACUUUGAAAGGUUUUACUUUCCAAGCAGUAACCACCUUUUGUAAUAUUGAUUGCAUGGGUGGUCAUGGUGGUUUCUUGUGCCGGCACCGACUUUGUGGCCAUAAUUGGAUGAAGACGGUGGCAACGAGAGGGAAGGAAGGGGAUGAUGAAAGGGGGGAGUGAAUACAGUUAUUGAGAUGAUCAACAAUGGGAGAGCUUUAUUGUGGGUGAUUAACAUAUUUUAACAAUUUAAAUAUUAUAGAAAAAAAUAAUAUAGAUUAUCAGAUUGAAAAACCUACACAACUUUUAAAUUAAAAAACAGAUCUCAAGUAUCGCGAUACCUACUCAUUAUUUAAAAAUUUUCAGAGUCAAGCUAGCUCUAAUCAAACUGUGACAUCAUGUAAAGCAAGUGUUAAAUGAAUAUAAAAACAAAAAAAGAGUAUUGUUAUGAAACUCAAUACAAUAGUUUAAAUUUGACUUGACUUGAUUACUAAGUAUGAGUUUUAAAUUAAAUCAUAUGAAAAUUAUUAUAAUAUUAUUUUUUUCAUUAGGUAGGUCCAAAAAAUAAAAUCAACCCAAUGCUAGAAAAUAAAAUUAAAUAAAUAUUUUAUAUUAAAUGAUGAAAUGAAAAAAAAAACAAUAAAUAAAAAAAGAGGUAAAAAAACUUAAAGAAAAUAAAAACCCCGUAAUAAAGGAUGGGAUUGGAAAGAAAAACCAAAAGAUAAAAAAAAGCCAAAAAACUUUUAUUAUAUUAUAAACAAUACAAAAAUUUAUUUAUCAUCAACCCGAUAUUGAAAUAUAAAAUUAAAUAAAAACCUUAUAUUAAAGGAUAGAAUUGAAAAAUAAAUAGACUAAAUAACCUAAAGAAAAAAAAACCCACAUUAAUGGAUAAAAAAACCCCAAAGAUAAAAAAGGCCAAAAAAACCUAAAUAGCCAAUACAAAAACUCAAAGGCUUGUUACAACAAAGCCUAGGCAUGUGAGCUCGAGGGAGGUCUAAUAGCCUAGUUUUUUUUUUUAUAUAUAAAAAAAUAGAGACAGAUAAGCAAAAUAAUACUAUCAUCUAGGGGUUUUGUGGUCUUUUCAUUAUAGUUUUUUUUUUGUUUAAUUUCAACUUAAUUUAGGGAAAUUUUGUAUUUUAAUAAUUGUUAAAUAUUAAAAAGAAAACCUUGCUAGCAAGCGUCAUGCACGCACCAAAAGGUAGGUGGCCCUCGUGCCUUUCAAGAAAGAGUCGAUCGGUCAUUAAACACCGUUUUUCAUGAUGAUGUUUGAAAUGUCUUGACGCCUCCUAUAUAAUGGGACAUGGUGUGUGCUAAACUCAUUUUCGGUUUGGCAACACUUGCCAGACCCAGAUUAUGUCUGAAUCUGAUAGGCCAAUGAGGUGGACCAGUGCCAGACGCAACAACUUUUGGGUCUGGCUUUGAUCAGACCGAGCGCACCUUCAUAGGGGCGUAUUUGGUGUAGGCACGUGCCAACCUAACGCGCCCGAAAAUAAGAGAAACUUAUACCUAUAUAUUUUUUCUUGAUCCAAUAUUUUAAUACACACACACACAUAAAAAUAUAAUGAUAAAAUAUAUAUACAUCAAUCACUAUGGUCAAUUUUCCCAGAUAUCCCUGGCAUUUGACAAACAUUUUGAGGAAAAUCCCCACCAAGCAAAGGAUGAUCAUUAGUAGACCCAUGUUCAUAAUAGAACUCUACCUUAUCUAUUAACUUCAACAAACCAACAAUGCUAGUGUCAUUAUGCACUAUUGUGAAAAAUAAGGUCUUAUUACAUCAUGACAAAGCAAAAGAAUCAUUAUAAUACAUAAAAUACACAUAUUUUUUACCAAAUUCAACAUUAAUAUUCAGUAAUUAAGGUCCUAAAACACAAUAAAUUUGGAUCAGUAUCAUGUUUCUCAUACACAGCCCCAUCCACAUACUCAACCAAUAGACCCAAUUGACCUUUUCACAGUUCCACCCAUGUGGAAUAUAAAUUUCUUCGACAUAUAUAUGCUAGAAAAAACAUAUUUAAAAAAUAAGGAACCUAAGACCAGUCACAUGUUUUUGAAGGUCCUAGGACUAUAAUAUCUUGUAAAGUUAAUAAUAACCUUUUCUAUUCAUGUGGAAGCUGUGACCUUUCACAUUCGGGACCAUUGGUUAUUUGAUAAACAAAUGUAAGGAAAUUGACAAUGGAUGGCGAAUUAGAUUCUCACCUUUUCACGAAUAUUCAUUCAUUGUUUCUCUUCUCAAGAUUCACAACAUAGUGAAUGAGAGUAAUGGAGCUCACAACUUUAAGCUAACCUUCAUUUCUCAUGUUUCAACUGAUAUUCUCAAAGUUUUUCUCCCAGGGUUAGGUUUUCUUCUUCAUGAUCUUGAGUGUGAGAGAUGAGAGAAUGUGAGAAGAUUAAUUUUGGGUGUGCUGUGAGUUAUAUAUGAUAGUGUAGAGAGAGUAAUGAGUUAAAACGCUUCCACAUCCAAUGGAGCUCUUUAGCUAUAAUUAUAGAGAGCAUGGAUAUAUAUUUUCACCUGGAGCAUUCUUUCCUCAAAUGCCUCUCUACGUACUCAAGCUUUGUGAAUAGUACUCGCUAUACACAUACCGAGUACUGUUGCACUAUCUGGAAUUCAUCAAAGAUCAUACAUCGCAAGGAAGUGAAAGGAAAAACAGUUAGCAUUAAAGUCCAGUCCUGGCACAGCAUAACAAGAUGUAACGAGUCUGUAGUUAAUGUCCUAGAGAUGGAGCAAUCUGGAGCAUGUCAUGGCCCAAGGUGCCAUGCAUGCAUGGCAAGGAAUAUCAUGGGAACAGUGAAGUCGAUACCGCAACAGGCCUCGUAUGCUAACCAAAACCAUAUACACAGUAUGGACGACUCUACAAAUCCAGUGUCUUUGAAAAAGCAGAUGACUUACUGAGCUUGCAAUAUCAAUGAAGCUUCUGUUUUAUUAUUUUCAUGCAGAAACUUGAGCCAAUACAUAGUUUGUGAAGGGUUUAUAAAUGUGUGCCCUAUAAUUUGUUGUGUAAUAAAGACUUCAAGCAUUGAAGUUUUUGUGCCCUAAAUGCAAUUUUCAUUAAGCCUUGUCUCAAAGGUAUGGGUUAAAAUGACUAUAGUUUGAUGGUUAGUGAAUAUGCAUUUUACGAACACCAUUUUUAGAUAGAAACGAAGAAGAAAUGAAGAAAUGAUCAAGAACAUAUUUAUCUUAGAGAGACAUGUAUCAAUUAUCAACACUAGUAUGAGUUCAGUAUGCCAAAAUAAACAAAUAAAAAAUGUACUAAGAAAAAACCAAUGACAACUACAAUGGAAAAAAAUAUAUAUUUGAGCAUGCAUUAAGUUCUUUAAUUUAAUGCAUGUUUGAUCAACCAUUUAACUAGUGAUGAAUUAAUUUUUAAAAGCUUUUUACUAAAUAAAAUAGUUAAUUUUCAAUAUUCCUUUAAAUGAAUACCUUUUUAAUUUCUAUUAUAAUAAAAUAAUUAAUUAAAAAUAUGAAUUUUAAAAAUGAUUAAAAGUAGUUUAUUUUAAAAAAAAUACAUUAAGGACUCUUACUUCACUUAAGAGAAUAUGGAUUUUUUUAGAGAGCUGAAUUUCUAAAAUAAAUUUCUAGCUAUUUUUUUCUUGUUUUUGAUUUCUUUUUUUAAGGACCAGUAAUUAUUUUAUUUAAAUUUAGAUGAAAUCUAAAAAAAAAAAACAACAUAGUGAAUGGAGGGCGAAUUAGAUUAUCACCUUUUCACGAAUAUUCAUUCAUUGUUUCUCUUCUCACGAUUCACAACAUAGUGAAUGAGAGUAAUGGAGCUCACAACUUUAAGCUAACCUUCAUUUCUCGUGUUUCAACUGAUAUUCUCAAAGUUUUUCUCCCAGGGUUAGGUUUUCUUCUUCAUGAUCUUGAGUGUGAGAGAUGAGAGAAUGUGAGAAGAUUUUGGGUGCUGUGAGUUAUAUAUGACGGUGUAGAGAGAGUAAUGAGUUAAACGCUUCCACAUCCAAAGGAGCUCUUUAGCUAUAAUUAUAGAGAGCAUGGAUAUAUAUUUUCACCUGGAGCAUUCUUUCCUCAAAUGCCUCUCUACAUACUCAAGCUUUGUGAACAGUACUCGCAAUACACAUAGUGAAUACUGUCGCACUAUCUGGAAUUCAUCAAAGAUCAUGCAUCGCAAGAAAGUGAAAGGAAAAACAGUUAGCAUUGAAGUCCAGUCCUGGCACAGCAUAGCAAGAUGUAACGUGUCUGUACUUAAUGUCCUGGAGAUGGAGCAAUAUGUAGCAUGUCAUGGCCCAAGGUGCCAUGCAUGCGUGGCAAGGAAUAUCAUGGGAACAGUGAAGUCGAUAUUGCAACAGGCCUCGUAUGCUAACCAAAACCAUAUACACAGUAUGGACGACUCUGCAAAUCCAGUCUUCUUGAAAAGUAGAUGACUUACUGAGCUUGCAAUAUCAAUGAAGCUUCUGUUUUAUUAUUUCCAUGUAGAAACUUGAGCCCAUACAGAGUUUGUGAAGGGUUCAUAAAUGUGUGCCCUAUAUUCUGUUCUGUAAUAAAGACUUCAAGCAUUAAAGUUUUUGUGCCCUAAGUGCAGUUUUCAUUAAGCCCUGUCUCAAAAGUAUGUGUUAAAAUGACUAUAGUUUGAUGGUUAGUGAAUAUGUAUUUUGCGAACACCAUUUUUAGAUAGAAAUGAAGAACAUAUUUAUUUUAUAGAGACAUGUAUCAAUUAUCAACACUAGUAUGAGUUCAGUAUGCCAAAAUAAACAAAUAAAAAAUGUACUAAAAAGAAACCUAUGACAACUACAAUGAAAAAAAAAAUUGUAUUUGAGCAUGCAUUAAGUUCUUUAAUUUAAUGCAUCUUUGAUCCACAUUCAACUAGUGAAGAAUUAAUUUUUAAAUUUUUUUUACUAAAUAAAAUAGUUCAUUUUCAAUAUUCCUUUAAAUGUAUACCUUUUUCAAAUUUCAAUUAUAAUAAAAUUAUUAAUUAAAAAAAUGAAUUUAAAAAAAUGAUUAAAAGUAAUUUAUUUUAAAAAAACACAUUAAGAACUCUUACUUAAGAGAAUAUGAAUUUUUUUAGAGAGCUUAAUUUCUAUUCUAGCUAUUUUAGUUAUAUAUAAAAAAUAGAGAACAUGAAUAUAAAUGAUCGCAAGGAGGUUUUAUACCUAUAAAAAAUAUUUUGUUUUAUUUUUUUUAAUUUCUUUUUUCAAAGACCAGUAAUUAUUUCUUCAAAUUUAGAUGAAAUCUCAAAAAAAAAAAUUUCUCAUAGCAAAAUAAUUCCCACAUCUUAAUUCGGUAAGGUAUGGUAAUUCUAAAAAAAAUAUUAUUAUAAUGAAUUUUUAAAUGAAAAAUAUUUUGAAAAACAACUACUAUCAUAACAUCAAAUAAGUUCUAAAUUGACCAGAAUCACAAUACAAUGCUAGUUUUUAAAUAUCUUUUCAAAAAACAUUUCACUUGAGUAUUUAUCAAAAUAAUAUUUUUUUGAAAAAAAUUAUUUUUAACAUCAACAUAUCAAAAUGAUUUAAAAACAUAAAAAAAUAACUUGAAGUAAAUAAAAAAAUUCAAUAUUUUUCAAAAAUAUUUUUAAAACACAAAAAUAAAAUUAUACUGUUAAUUUAUUUAUGAAGCCUUAAUUUAAUCUAAUCAAUGAAACAAGAAAUUAAAUCCUUUAAAACCUGAUUUGGGGUUGAUGUGGAAUAAAACUCAGGUUAUAGGUUAGAAGAGUUUGAUCCAGUUCAAUCCAAGCCAACUUUAAUUUUUUUUAAAUGAUUUAAAUGAUAUUAUCUCAACCCAAUUUUCUUUGAAAAACAAAAAAAAAAAACCCUCAAUGGCUUAAGGGUCAAGUUUUGAUUCGUCAAUCUUGGAUCAACUGUAUUACACUAUUACUGAGUUAACUCGAGUUUCUCCUUCAAUCAACAAGAUAUUUUUUAUUUAAGUUAAAUCAGUCUUAAGUUGACCGCAGAACUGGUCAGUACUUCCAAUUAUGCUCACCGUCACCGAUGGUAGUGGCGUCCCAAUCCCUAGGUGGCAUAAUGAUGCAUUCUUUGAUCUAUAACUCUCGAAAGCUGACGACAAAUGAGGCAUGAGAUGUUCAUAGCCGAGAUUUGAUAUUUAAAUAAAUGAAAUGUAAAUCACUUAAAUUCAUCCAUUUUUAUUUAAUUUUUUAUUUAUUGAGAGUGGGACCCACCAUUUUCAGCUACACCUUCUCCUAUAAUUUAUAUUUAUAAGAGAAGAAGAAUGUUCUCAUGGAGGAGGGAUGUUUUUUUAAACAAAUAAAUUAUAAUUUACAGAGAGCACCGGAGAGAGCAUGAUUGAUGAGCUCCCGCCUCAAGAUCUUUCCGGCAGGAGAUCUGGGGAUCCCAUCAGUAAAAGCCACUCGUCGUAUCUUCUUGUAUGGUGCAACCUGUGGAAAUAAAUUAGAGGCCUCAAGUGAGUGCAUAUUCCACCUAACUUGAAUAGACAAACCAACUACUCUCAUUUUAUGCAACAUGGGACAAGAUAAAAUUGAUACGUAACAGGGACAUGCAAGCUAGAUCAAACACUUAUAUUAAUAAUAAUAAAAAUAAAAAUCAUAUGUAAUGUGAUUCUCACUUCGCCUUUUUAUUAUUGCGUUUUAAAUAUUUUUACAAGGAAUCCAUUAUUUUUAUAAAGAUUUUAUAUUAAAUAAAAAGAAUUAAUUGAUCAAAAAUUUAAUUUUUAUUUUAUAAGGUAUCAAGUUUUUGUUUAGCAAGAAUUCUUUAAUAGUUAUUUAUUUUGAAUAUUUUUCACAAUCAUGUGCAAUAAAGAGUUAAAAGUAAUUUUAGAUUAUUAUUUUAUUUAUUUUUAUUACUUAUAAAUUUUAUUGUAAUUAGUUUGUGCUUUAUUUAAAUUGGAUGCAUGUUUGACCCACUAGUAUUAAUGUUUUAUUUUCAAGAAUAGAAAUACUCUGUGUAAGAAUAAAAUAUUAAAACUUGAUAAUAUUAUUUUUGCUGAAUUUAUUCAGCUUGUGUGAGAGAGAUUCUCACAUUUUUUAGUUCUCUAAUGAACUAAAUUGAUUUAUCGAAGAUUAAUUGAUUUCAUAGCGUUUUUUUUAACUUCUCGUUUGCAAAUUGAUAUUUGUAGGGUGGAAGUUGUUACUUCAAUAGUAUUGGUGUUUUGAGACAUAUUUUAAUUAUAUCACACUCCUAUUAGACUUAUCUCGUUCCAGGAUUCGUUGCUAUUCUUGUUGUGGGUUGCACGACCACAAGAUUACGAGUUUAUAAUAAUGCAUUUAUUGCCUUAAAAGUACUUGCUUCUUAAAUUAAAACGGGGCUAAAUUAUUGUUUCUAUCAUUUUAUGCAACGAGAGCAAGAUUUUGUGUGGACUUGAUCCAUAGAUCUGCCUUCUAAGUGCAUGCAUCUUAAUAUGAAAGAGGGAAAAAUGAUGAAACUUAAAGCUAGAAGCUUGCCUGUUUUGCAAUGGAAUCCAUGAUUUGAGCCUCAGUAAUAUUGCUUCCUGGUUUCCUCACCACAUAGGCCAUGGGAAUUUGCCCUGCCUCUUCAUCAGGAUACCUGCUCCAAGAUACCAAACCCAAUGAAACGAGUGGAUCUGUAUCUUCAAAAACAAACCAAUUAUGAUGAAACAAACGAAAUUGUGAAGGCAGGCUAUUCACUGCAAUAACAAUGACACUAAAUACACCUUCCAUCUAUCAUUAGCACUUAAAUUAUCGAGCUACAAAUUUUUAUUGCUGGUAUCUCCAUAUCAGUCAAGAAAAGAAAACCUGGACUGAUCCACCAUUACACGCAGUUCAAUGGCCAGAAGAAUCUCAGUUUAAUUCAGAAAUUUCAUCAGUCGAAGUGUUUUUGUGUAAUACCACCACUAGCAAACUAUCCAUUGAUUUCAAAAAGUAAAGUCUCUCAUUGUCAUUCCCAACAGAAGAAUCUCUUUUGCUUCCUCAAUAAACGAGCUAAGAAUAUCUUCUCCCCAGUUCACUAAACUACCAAAAAGCAAAACAAGAUCAAGAAUACCAAACAUGUUGCAUCUCACAUGCUACCUCUCUCUUUCUCUCUCCAUAUGAUUCUUUGCGCAUCGGUUUCUUGUCUAUGCAUCAAUACAACUUAUAUCUCAAAGAAACGAAAAAAAUGAGCUAUGUAUUCAAUCAAAAGAGAGCUUUGGGGAUAUGUUUGUUUGAAAGAGAGAAUAAAUUGUUGUCGGCAACUGCUACAAUGCAGAAACAUAUGACGCGUAAUUAAACAACAUUUCGCAUGCUUAUUAUACCAUCAUGAAGUUCUCAGCACGAGAAGCAGAAGAGACAACUUACGGAAUUACAGCAGCAUCGGCAAUCUCAGGAUUAGACAGCAGCAAUUGUUCCAACUCAACAGGGGGCACCUACAAGUUAUCAAAGAUGUGACAAGACAACAAUAUUUCUAGCAUUAGAAUGAGAUUUACGAUCCUAACAUUUAUUGAAGUCAAUAUUAUACCGGAAAGGGCAUCGGAUAAUUCGAUCACCUGAUAUGCCUUGUACUUUAUCAAUUCCUUCAGCCUAUCAACAAUGUAGAGGAAGCCCUCGGAGUCAAAGAAACAAAGAUCCCCUGUCUUUAACCACCCUUCUGAAUCCAAGGUUUCGGCAGUUGCCUUCUCAUCUCGUACAUAACCUGUACUAAAACCAUCAUUUUUAGCAUCAAGAACAGAAUAUUAGAGAAUUCUACUAGGAAGAAGAUGCAUGCUGAGGUAUUUAUGCGGCCAAACUAAGAUUUUCCACAAUAUAGACUAUUGAUUUCCUAGUCAUGGAACAUUCUUCCCCUUUCAGAUAACCUGCAGCACAUUUCAAUAUUAAUACCCUGAUGCAAAUAUGCAUUGCGAUUUGCCUAGAAGGUAUCUCUGGUCCAUCCCAAACAAUGUCAAAGCAGUUGCAUACAUGGCAGGUGGCUUAAGAAAAACUGAGAAGGGUUGUAUGAAUGCAUGCCAGGUUCCAAUUAAAAAAUCAAACGACAAAGCAGCAAAGAACCAUUAAGGCUAUAUGCAAUGGUACAAGAUGCAUAUUCUUAUUAAUUGAGGCAGAUUCAAAGUAUGUCAGCAAAACGCUGACAUAUUGCUCUUUGUAGUGUAAAACCACAGCGAAACGCUGUACUGUUGGAGUGCAGUCCAGUAUACUGCAGCUCUUUUGUUUUCCACACCAAAAGAAUAACACUUCGAAACACAUUAAAGAAGAAAGUUAACAACCAACAAGUCAAUGUUCACUACCUUUCAUAAUGGAUGGCCCUCGCAACCAAAGCUCCCCUCUCUUGCCAGGACCAAAGGCCUCUCCAGUUAGAGGAUCAACAAUUUUGGCUUCCAUAUUUCCACACAACCGACCAACAGAAGCAUGCCGGUUACAUUCUUCAGGUCCUAUUAUCCUAGAUACAGCUCCAGCCUCCGUUAAUCCAUACCCCUAAAUCUCAAGUAUAAGACACGAUCAUUAAUUACUCAACAACAUUAAUGUUGCUAUACAUUAACUUUGUGAAAAAUGAAAAUCCUGCAUUCAGUUAAAAUUAAGGAAGGAUAAAAAAAGGCUUGCCUGCAUUAUUUCAGCCUGUGGAAAUUUCCUUUUGAAUUUUUCUGCAACCUCCUUGCUCAAUGGCGCGCCACCGCAACUGAACCUCCGCAAUGAACUCAAAUCAUACUUGUUAGUCAAAUCCGAUUUCAGUAAUGUCAGAAUAAUGGUUGGCGACACAGGCAUGUCACUCACUCUAUAUCUCUCUACAACCUUCAACACUUGCUCAAAAUCAAACCUCUCCGUCAAAACCAACGUCUUCCCCCACCGAAAUUCAUUUAUCAACAAAAAGAAGCCAAAAACAUGAAACAAAGGCAGCGUAAGCAACGAAACCGCAUGUGGGUCAAGUUCUGCAGAGCUCUUUUGAAAAGCCGCGAUUGGAGCUAUUACGUUCCUGUGAGUCAAUGACACGCCUUUGACUCUCCCAGUUGUUCCCGAGGAAUAUAGGAUCGCUGCCAUGUCGGAUUGACUCACUUCAACGUGGUUGGUAGCACUGUCUCGUUUGGAGAUUUGAGUCAACAAGGAGAUGAACUCAGGGGAGUCAAUGAGGAUUGUGCCAAGGGGAAAAGAGGGAAGCUUGUGGGCAGUUUGGGAAGUAGCAAAUGCGAUCUUGGGUUUGCUGAGUUGGAUUUGGUGAGUCAGCUCGGAGUUCGAACUUAGGGGGUUGGCAGGAGAGAUGGUGACACCAAGGUAAAGAAGAGAGAGAUAAAUAAUGGGGACGUGGAGAGAGGGCGGGCAGAGGAUAAAAGAGACAUCGUUCUUGUUUAAAUUGUAGAGACUCUUGAGAGAUGAAGAAAGAGAGUAAAUCUGGUUGAUGGCUUCAGAGUAAGUGAGAGAUUGACGUGUGGAAGGCAUGAUAAGGAAGUUUUUUUGGGUGGUUGGGAUGGCAGAGGAGUGGAGGAGAGAAAGGAUGAAUUGGGUUAUGGAGAGAGGUUGAUGCGGUGGUGGUGGAGGAGCAGGUGGUCUAAGACUUUGAAAGGUUUUACUUUCCAAGCAGUAACCACCUUUUGUAAUAUUGAUUGCAUGGGUGGUCAUGGUGGUUUCUUGUGCCGGCACUGACUUUGUGGCCAUAAUUGGAUGAAGACGGUGGCAACGAGAGGGUAGGAAG
rnacentral:lncRNA from 1 species